rnacentral:lncRNA from 1 species
AUAUCAUUUAGACUGUAGCCUUCAUCACUGAAGCAUAUUUGUUUUCUUAUGAGCUUCUUUUGAUUUAGUUUUGAUCCUUGUAGAUUUUCCUGUCAUGACCUCAGGGUCAUUGCCCACUUCACCCCCCUAAAAAAGAAGAUAAAUAAAGCUACAACAAAAAUCUAGUAGCAGUAAUCAUAUUGGGCCCGUGGAUAUUUUUAUUGACCUUUUUAUUCUAGAAAAUUGAUCAUUUGCCAGGUAGCUUAUUGUUUCAUAUUUUACAAUAUAACAUUCAUAUCUUAAUCUGUAUAAUUAAGUAAGAGAUCCUUUCUCUCACUCUCAUUCUCUAAAGUUUAGCUGCUUUUUCCCUAAAAGACUGAAAUACCAUUAAUGUCUAAUUUAUAUCUUUUCUUGGAGAAACUUGUUAUAACUAUAUCUUUUGCCCUUUUGAUUCCCACAUGAUGGCUAUUUUUAUUCUCUUUUUUUAAAGUCAAUGCUCACAUCUUAAUGCAAUUACAAUGGUAAAAGUAUUUAUUGAGUCUGUAUUUCUAGAAGGUGAGCCCAGGUUUGUUAUUCAUCAUGUUAUUCCCAUGUUAGCCACUACA